UCAGUUUCAUUUCAGUUACUACAACGAUUUCAAGACCUACGGACGUUCCACACGGCGUUGGUAGCGCGCGCUGCAAUUAAGUAACGGGACAGAGCGUUUAAAAAAAUACAACAACAAUAUAAACAAACAAAAUCAACAAACACACAGAACAAUAGAAAAAGCAAUUGUAAUAACUAAGCCGUAUUACACAACUCGCCAACUCUCGCCCAUCGUAAUAACAACGACGACAACUACAUCAAUCAACAAAAUAAAUACGUUUGGUACAUGCUAAAUAAAUACAUUAUUGUGUUGAGAUACCAAAAAUAUGCAUUCUAAGGCUAUGUACAUAACUACAUUCACAUAUUUCUUAUGAUUAAUGCACACCGCUUGGCAUUAAGGAUACAGAUAUUUCUUAGAAAUCUAACACAGUUCUGCCAAAAACAAUUGUAAAGACAAACAAUAGACAUCUAAUACAUACAUACACGCAUAGACAUAAAUAGAUAUAUAUAUAUAUAUAGCAUAUAUAACAUAUAUAUAUAUAUAUAUGUAUAUAUAUAUAUAUAAAGAGAGAGAGAGAGAGAGAGAUACGUAAAUAACACCGAUGAAAAGCCAUUACCGUCUAGAAGAGAUAUAUGUUUAAGGUAUGCGUACACAUAGGACUACAUACAUAUGUAUAUGUAUAUAUAUUUAUGGGACGAUCUAGAAAUCUACGCUUAUUACAUCAACUAACCCGGGAACACUUAGUCAAACCAGAGAGAAAAACACAAUUCUCAUUUGACACAGAGAAACAGUUUAAUAAAUAUAUUCAAUACAACGUGCAAUACACAUAACAUUGAACAUAAAGCAAAAAAAAUAACAAAAAAAAAUAACAAAAAAAAAACAGCACUAUU